AGAACGAACGCUGGCGGCAUGCCUAACACAUGCAAGUCGAACGAGACCUUCGGGUCUAGUGGCGCACGGGUGCGUAACGCGUGGGAAUCUGCCCUUAGGUUCGGAAUAACAGUUAGAAAUGACUGCUAAUACCGGAUAAUGUCUUCGGACCAAAGAUUUAUUGCCUAAGGAUGAGCCCGCGUAAGAUUAGCUAGUUGGUGAGGUAAAGGCUCACCAAGGCGACGAUCUUUAGCUGGUCUGAGAGGAUGAUCAGCCACACUGGGACUGAGACACGGCCCAGACUCCUACGGGAGGCAGCAGUGGGGAAUAUGGACAAUGGGCGAAAGCCUGAUCCAGCAAUGCCGCGUGGAGUGAUGAAGGCCUUAGGUUGUAAAGCUACGUUUACCCGGAUGAUAAUAGACAGUACCGGAGAAUAAGCCCCGACUAACGUCCGUGCCAGCGACGCCGAC
rnacentral:rRNA from 1 species